GUACUCACCUUGGCAGUAAACAUAUUAAAAUUAGAAUAAUAUGGAGGUUAGCAUGGCCCCCACAGAAGGAUGACACACAAAUUCAUAAAGUGUUCCAUAUUCAA